rnacentral:rRNA from 1 species
CUGAACGCUGGCGGCGUGGCUAAGACAUGCAAGUCGAAGCGGAUGUAGCAAUACAUCAGUGGCGGACGGGUGAGUAAUGGAUCGCUAAUGUACACCGCGGAGCCAGGGAUAGCUGCCCGAAAGGGCAGGUAAUACCUGAUGAGACCAACAGCACCGCAUGGUGAAGUGCUCAAAGCAGCAAUGCACUCUGGGAGGCAGGCCGAUUUCGUAUCAGCCUUGUUGGUGAGCGGUAACGGCUCACCAAGGCGACGACGCGUAGCUGGUCUGAGAGGACGGCCAGCCACAGGUGGGACUGAGACACUGCCCCAGACUCCUACGGGGGGCAUGCAGUAACGAAUCUUCCGCAAUGCACGAAAGUGAUGACGGAGCGACGCCGCGUGUAGGAUGAGUCCUUCGGGAUGUAAACUAACUGUCAGGCGGAAAGAAAGUUCUGAUCUACCCCAGAGGAAGAGACGGCUAACUCUGUGCCAGCAGCCGCGGUAAUACAGAGGUCUCGAGCGUUAGGCGGAAUCACUGGGCUUAAAGCGUGUGUAGGCGGAUCGGUAAGCUAUACCCCUUGUGAAAUCCCACAGCUUAACUGUGGAACUGCUUGGUAUACCUGCCAGUCUUGAGCCAGCUAGGGGGCUACCGGAACAAAUGGUAGGAGCGGUGAAAUUGCGUAGAUAUCAUUUGGAACGCCAAUGGUGAAAACAGGUAGCUGGGGCUGUGCUGACGCUGAGACACGAAAGCCAGGGGAGCAGAACGGGAUUAGAUACCGCCGGUAGUCCUGGCCGCUAAACGAUGUCGACUAGAUCGCACGUUCCUUCAACGGUAUUGCGGUCGAAGCAAAAGUGCUAAGCUCGACCGCCUGGGAAGUACCGGUCGCAAGGCUAAAAACUCAAAGAAAUUGACGGGGGGCUCACACAAGCGGUGGAGCAUGUGGUUGCAAUUCGAAGCAAGCGCGCAGAACCUUACCUGGGCUUGACAUGGCUAGGAUUAUCCCUAUGAAAGUAGGGUAGGCCCUUCGGGGUACAACUAGUACAGGUGCUGCAUGGCUUGUCGCUCAACUCGUGUCGUGAGAUGUCGGGUUAAGUCCCUUAACGAGCGACAACCUUUGCCCUUAGUUACUAACGGGUUAUGUGCCGAGGACUCUAAGGGGACUACGCCGGUGUCAAACCGGAGGAAGGGUGGAGAUGACGUCAAGUCCUCAUGGCCUUUAUGCCCAGGGCCACACACGUGCUACAAUGGGGUGCACAGAGGCGAACCGAGAGCGGCAAGCUGGAGGGAAAUCGCAUAAAUCACCCCCCAGUUCAGAUUGGAGGCUGUCAACUCGCCUACCAUGCAAGUUGGAAUCGCUAGUAAUCGCGGAUCAGCUACGCCGCGGUGAAUGUGUUCCUGAGCCUUGUACACACCGCCCGUCAAGUCAUGCGGAGCCGGGAAUAGCCGAAGUCGGCCCGCAUCACCAGCGGGUCCCUACGCUAGGCCUCGGUGAGCUGAGGACU